CAGCAGGCAAGAUUUCAUCCCUACAGCAGAGGACAAGGGCCUCACUUGAUCAUGCCUGCCAGUCAAGGUCGCAACCCACGGAGGGGGGACGCGCUGUUGUUCGGCAUUGGCUGCGCAAACCGCCACGGAAGGCACCCUCUAUGGACGGGGAUGACCAUGAUGCAGGGGAGGAUGAGGACCGAUACAUUGAGCUCGACCACGACGGGGCACCGCACAAGGGCAUGAUGUAGUGCUCAGGAUGCUCUUCGGAUGGCUCCCAGGAUGGGAUUGAACCUAGUUGAGGUCCUUGGGAAAUCAGGCCCUCCUGUUUCCAAGAUCAUAGGCUUUCACAAAGACAAGUAUACCAAGGAUGCCAUGGAGAAAGAUCGCCUAAAAGAACAAGGUGAUAAUGUUGUACCGAGGGCAUAAAGUUGUAUCCAGGAUGGGCUUGCACCUGGUUGAGGUCCAUCGGAAAUAGGACCAUCCUGCUUGCAAGAUCAUGGACUUCCACAAAGACAAGUAUAACAAGGAUGUCAAGGAGAAAGAGCACGUAAAAACCAAGAUUUGCUUAAAAUCACGGAAGCUUGGGUUGAUGGAGGGCUUGUAUUUAGUUUUUUUGGACCUUGUGAAACUUGCUACCUAUGGAUGAAACUGUGUAAUAUUGAUGAAACUAUGUAUAUGUACGGAUGAAACUUGCUACUAUUGGUAACAUGUGUUGGAUACAUAUG